AAACAGACAAACAGACCUCUAAUGCUUCAGAGAUCUUCAGAAUAUGGCAUUUAAAUUGUUAUCUUUAAAGUUUAUAAUGUCAGACAGACUGCCAGAUCCUGACAAUGACCCGAAGAUUACAGGCACCUCAGUUCCUGCACCUGGACCAAUGAGCAGAUGCUCAGAUAUGAAACCUGCCGCCUGCCAGAACCUGGCCGAGACUGUGGACAAAGCUGCUGGACACUGGAAAAUUGAUUGUACCCCUUUGCCUAGACAAAACAAGGUUUCUGCUUCUGACAGACAUCUGAGUACCAGUUGCUGACUUCAGACUGUUCUAAGUAGACUGCGAACCCUAGACUUGCUAUGGAUGUGAACCAGUCUGCUGAUGUGGACACCCCCUAUCUCUGCAACAGUGUCUGCUAACCAGAAGCCCCUGAUGGAUUCCCCAUUGUCUAAAUUCCUUUUUGCUUUUGACUAGCAUUUCAACCUUCUGGGGUCCCUAACUUCGUCCCAAAGUCAGCAGGAAGCAGUUUGGAAAGAAAUUUCGCCGUCCAUUUUCCCUGGUUAAAAUGCUAAGUCAAAAGGAACUCCCUUGCAUGGGGAUGCAAAACGACAGGGGAUGCUCACUGGAAGCCUUCAUCCUCAUGGGACAAGAUUCAGGUAACCAGAGGAUGGCAAAAGGGCUCCACCGGUACCACCUCUAUGCCUCUCCUUAUUUCCUUUACGGAUGAGGGUAAGAAAGCAUCAGAAUGGCAGAAGGGAG
rnacentral:lncRNA from 1 species